UAACUCAGUUGGUAGAGCAUAAGGCUUUGAACCAUGUGGUUGUGGGUUCAAACCCCAC
rnacentral:tRNA from 1 species